rnacentral:rRNA from 1 species
UACAGAGGGUGCGAGCGUUACUCGGAAUUACUGGGCGUAAAGGGUGCGUGGGUGGUUAGUUAAGUUAAGGGUGAAAGUCCCGGGCUUAACCUGGGGAUUGCGCCUAAUACUGUCUAGCUAGAGUAUUGUAGAGGAAAGUGGAAUUUCCGGUGUAGCGGUGAAAUGCGUAGAUAUCGGAAGGAACAUCAGUGGCGAAAGCGACUUCCUGGACCAGUACCGACGUUCAGGCACGAAAGCGUGGGGAGCAAACAGG